GAAGCACCAGCCGUAGUUAGUCAUUUGCUACCUUCCUCCUGGACCAAACAUCACUGUUGGAGCUAGCCACUUUCCACAAGUGGAAGCCCUUCCAGACUGGACUCAGUUUCCUCAAAGGAAGUGAAGCCACUCAGAAACUGGACUUCAGGAAAUCAGGUACAGGUCCUCCCAGCAGACAUUGCCUUUAUAACAUGUUGUAAUGUCACUCUCUUAUAGGUUUUUGUUACAAUGUGCAUUUGUUUCAAAGCAUUAUGUAAACCUGGAUUUGCUCUGAUUUAAUAAAGUAUACCU